GAUGAACGCUGGCGGCGUGCCUAAUACAUGCAAGUCGAGCGAACAGACGAGGAGCUUGCUCCUCUGACGUUAGCGGCGGACGGGUGAGUAACACGUGGAUAACCUACCUAUAAGACUGGGAUAACUUCGGGAAACCGGAGCUAAUACCGGAUAAUAUAUUGAACCGCAUGGUUCAAUAGUGAAAGACGGUUUUGCUGUCACUUAUAGAUGGAUCCGCGCCGCAUUAGCUAGUUGGUAAGGUAACGGCUUACCAAGGCGACGAUGCGUAGCCGACCUGAGAGGGUGAUCGGCCACACUGGAACUGAGAACCGGUCCAGACCCCUCCGGGAGGCAGCAGUAGGGAAUCUUCCGCAAUGGGCGAAAGCCUGACGGAGCAACGCCGCGUGAGUGAUGAAGGUCUUCGGAUCGUAAAACUCUGUUAUUAGGGAAGAACAAAUGUGUAAGUAACUAUGCACGUCUUGACGGUACCUAAUCAGAAAGCCACGGCUAACUACGUG
rnacentral:rRNA from 1 species